GACAGAGGAUGCAAGCGUUAUCCGGAAUGAUUGGGCGUAAAGCGUCUGUAGGUGGCUUUUUAAGUCCGCCGUCAAAUCCCAGGGCUCAACCCUGGACAGGCGGUGGAAACUACCAAGCUGGAGUACGGUAGGGGCAGAGGGAAUUUCCGGUGGAGCGGUGAAAUGCGCAGAUAUCAGGAGGAACACCAGUGGCGAAGGCGACCACCUGGACUGAUACUGACACUGAGGUGCGAAAGCGUGGGGAGCAAACAGG
rnacentral:rRNA from 1 species